rnacentral:rRNA from 1 species
UACGGGGGGGGCAAGCGUUGUUCGGAAUUACUGGGCGUAAAGGGCUCGUAGGCGGCCAACUAAGUCAGACGUGAAAUCCCCAGGCUCAACCUGGGAACUGCGUCUGAUACUGGAUGGCUUGAAUCCGGGAGAGGGAUGCAGAAUUCCAGGUGUAGCGGUGAAAUGCGUAGAUAUCGAGAGGAACACCUGAGGUGAAGACGGGUUGCUGGGCCGACACUGACGCUGAGUGCGCGAAAGCCAGGGGAGCAAACGGG